rnacentral:rRNA from 1 species
AGCUCCAAUAGCGUAUAUUAAAGUUGUUGCAGUUAAAAAGCUCGUAGUUGGAUCUCGGGUCCAGGCUUGCGGUCCGCCUCGCGGCGGCCACUGCUCGUCCUGACCUACCUGCCGGUAUGUCCCCCGAUGCUCUUGACUGAGUGUCUCGGGCGGCCGGAACGUUUACUUUGAAAAAAUUAGAGUGUUCAAAGCAGGCGCUUCGCCUGCAUAAUGUUGCAUGGAAUAAUGGAAUAGGACCUCGGUUCUAUUGCGUUGGUUUUCGGAGCUCGAGGUAAUGAUUAAGAGGGACGGACGGGGGCAUUCGUAUUGUGGCGUUAGAGGUGAAAUUCUUGGAUCGCCGCAAGACGGACUACAGCGAAAGCAUUUGCCAAGAAUGUUUUCAUUA